UAAAAUAUAUUUAAAUGUUUUCUAGAAAUAAUCAAGUUUAUCUGUAUAACUUAUUUCAGCAACAAGACAGUUCAAAAUGCUUUACAUCAU